UACGUAGGGGGCAAGCGUUGUCCGGAUUUAUUGGGCGUAAAGAGCGUGUAGGCGGCUUUACAGGUCCGUUGUGAAAACUCGAGGCUCAACUUCGAGACGCCGGUGGAAACCGUAAAGCUAGAGUCCGGAAGAGGAGAGUGGAAUUCCUGGUGUAGCGGUGAAAUGCGCAGAUAUCAGGAAGAACACCCGUGGCGAAGGCGGCUCUCUGGGACGGUACUGACGCUGAGACGCGAAAGCGUGGGGAGCGAACAGG
rnacentral:rRNA from 1 species